GAGAGAGAGAGAGAGAGGUCAAUUUCAACUUUAUCCUCAACUUUUGAAAUUUGCUAUUUCAACCUAAACUCGACAAACAAUUUCUAUGUUAGUUGUCUGAUCUGUAAAUGUUAGGAUAUACUAAUAAAGAUGGCAUGCAGUAGCACAUGAUUUGCUGAAUGUUUGAUAAAAUAAAAGGUAAAAGUGUUACACUUAACAAUUAAAAAAAUUCCAAAAAGAAAAAAGCAAGAAAUUUAUCUUCCUCUUCUUUCUCUGCAUAAACCAAAAUUGCCCUUUUGUUUCUAUUUUCCGAAUAAUUAAAAUUAGGACAAAUGGGUAAGUAUGCGGUCAUCUUGAUUCUGCUUUCUCUUCUUCAGUCCUCAAGUUCCCAGCCCAAUUGAGAAUCGUAUCCAACCAUUAUUUCUAUUACUAUCAUCCAUGAAACAUACAUGAAUUGAGUUUUGCUCUACUGCUUCCUUGAUUGUUUCAUCGACAUAAAAGUGUCUAAAGAAGGUGAUACGAAGUCCAAAUAACAGCUUGGAAACUGGGUAUUGGUCUCUUGUACUAGAAGGCCAAAUAAAUACACACAGAGACUCGAGCUCACACAUCGAAAGAGAGGCAGAUGUCUGUUCAGGGACAUUUUGGUCUUACUGUUGCAUCAAUGGCUGUUUACCUUUGUCUUUGAUUGUUGGGAAUGCUACUUGUGGUCGAAUUAGAUAUUUUUGCCUUUGCCUGUUUAAUUGUGAAUUAUAGGCUUGCUACUGUGUACUCUGAUUAGUUGAAGGGAUAGAGAGGGGCUUUGUUUUCAAGAAGAGGUUGGGCAUGGGUCUUGCACUUUUACACUUUAAUUAGUGGGAAAAUUAAAAAUUAGGGAAAUAGGUGAGUCUAACUGGGAUUUUAUUUACAGGACACUACGACACACAUGGG
rnacentral:misc_RNA from 1 species